UACGUAGGGUGCAAGCGUUAAUCGGAAUUACUGGGCGUAAAGCGUGCGCAGGCGGUUAUGUAAGACAGAUGUGAAAUGCCCGGGCUUAACCUGGGAACUGCAUUUGUGACUGCAUGGCUAGAGUUUGGCAGAGGGGGGUAAAAUUCCACGUGUAGCAGUGAAAUGCGUAGAUAUGUGGAGGAACACCGAUGGCGAAGGCAGCCCCCUGGGUCAAGACUGACGCUCAUGCACGAAAGCGUGGGGAGCAAACAGG
rnacentral:rRNA from 1 species